rnacentral:sRNA from 2 species
GCACUGCCACCGACGAACAACCUUGGAUGGAGGCGGGGGACCCACCGGUCCGCCGAAAGCAGACCAGGGCUCGCAGUCUGAGCCCUUGGGGUGAAGCCGGCGUCGGCGACGACGCAGGCCGGGCGACCUCUCCAGCCCGAACCCGACAGCUGACCUCGUAGGCGUUCACGAGAGGACUG